rnacentral:lncRNA from 1 species
UGGGGAGAGAAAGGAGGCAGCGGAAGAACAGAAGGCACCAGUGUGACCAACUAACAGGUGCCAUCAAAGGGAGGCUUUAAUGCCAGGUGACCUCUUGUUUGUCACUCAGUAGUUCUAUCUCCUUCAGCUUCACUGAAGUGAAAUUAAAGUCAUUUAAUAUUUAUAAUGACAUUCUCUUCACAAAGUUUAUGUGAUAGCACUAUAAAGAGCACAGUGUUGAUGUGGAAUUUAAGGUAACUACUGAAAAAACUUGUAAAUACCGCAUGGCUUCACUGCUGGAGUCUUGGAGUAUGGGCAGAAGUAAGACAACUGGGAGAGCUGAAGAUUUUGGGAUCUACAAGAGCAUUUGAAAACAAAUAGCAGCUCACGGUUACUUCCUGGCCAGCCUUAUCUCUCUUGGGUAACUCAGGCUCCUGCUUGGCCCUCCUGCUCAACCACAGCCCACCGUCAACAUCCAAGCAGAAUGGGCUCGGAAGGACACCAAGCUUCAUGUGUAAAGCCCUGACUUCUUGUCUUCACAUUUAGUUUGCAUGUAGAUAUUUAGGUAUCUUGGCCUGCCUUCCUUCCUUCCUUCCUUCCUUCCUUCCUUCCUUCCUUCCUUCCUUCCUUCCUUCCUUCCUUCCUUAACUUGUCUACAGAUCCUUGGGUCCCCUAUUGACUUUCUGAUGUUUCUCUUCCUCACAUAUGCAAGCAUGUUGCUACCUCAGGACCUUUGUAUUAAAUAACCUUCAGUUAUUUUCUUUGGCUGGAACGCCCCUCUGGUGAUAUUAUUGUAUCCAUUUUCUUUUCUUUCUUUUUGUGUAUGUGAUUUUGUUAUUUGUUUUUGUUGUUCCCCCACAACCUCCCAGACAGGGUUUCUCUGUAGCCUUGGCUAUACUGGGCACUCAUUCUGUAGACCAGGCUGGCCUUGAACUCAGAGAUACACCUGCCUUAAGAGUGCUGGGGUUAAAAGCAGGUGCCACCACUGUCCACUGUAUCUAUUUUCUUACUGUUCUUACUACUCUAAUGUCACUUUAAUCAUUAUAUCUUUAAUGAGACCUUUUUUGUCACCCAGUUUGUAGUAUAGGGCAUCCCUCCUAAUCCUUAUCAUAGUUUUAUUUGUAUCCUUCUUUUCUCAACACGUUGUUAUGUAUUUGUUAGUUACUAUUUCUCACUAAAUUGAGAUUAAAGUUGCAAGCAGAGAGUUGUUUGUUCAUUAUGACAUUAUGUAUGUGUAUAUAUAUAUAUAUAUCUGCCAAUUUGGCUUAUCAUAUGAAUAAUUUCAGUACUUCUGGGAGUGAGAUAAAUAACAAUAGGAUAUAAAACACAUUAUGGAGGAUUAGCUAGUAGCUGGGUUUGGGAGAUAUUGAAUGCAAACAGCUCCCCCCCACCCCCAAGCUAUUUAGACAUAAGAGGGAAUUAGAAGGUGGAUAUAAAAAGAAAUAUUGAGGAUAGUGGAAAUAUUUGUCAGCUUGUGACGUUUGUCCCUUUUUAGGAGUAUGACAGUUUGAUUUUUCUUAGGUAGGGUCUCUAUGUAGUUUGGGCUGAUCUAGAACUUGCUCUGUAGACCUCAAUCACAGAAAUCUGCCUCAAUCACAGAAAUCGUCCUGCAUCUGCCUCCUGACUACUGGGAUCAAAGACACUAUCACCAUGUCUGGCUAGUCUGGUUUUUCUUAAAGUAUGUCCCACAGAAUGCAGAGUUUUUAUAAUGUCUUCAAGAUUGACUCCAAGCCAUUGCUUCUUACCUACUAACUCCAGCAGGAUGGAGUUCAAGAAUCAGUAUUUUAGGUGGUGACUUCUGAGGCAAAGUUCUUGUGUAUUAUAUAUUCUUUUAGUAGACAUAAAAAAAG